AUGCCGGAGUGCUGCCUUCCUCAUUGCCCUCCUGGCCGCCCCCGAGGGCUCUGCUACGCCGUAACCCACCUUGCUGCAAUGGCCAUUUCGAAUGGCAGCGCCUCCUCCUCCCACCCCAUCUGCCCACAAGAGUUUAUCUCCCCGGCGAGUUUUUUCCUCUCUCCAGCUGCAGCCGGAGAUAGGCGUCCUCGCGGCGGCACGUCCCCGAGAAGCCGGAUAUUCAGGGAGAAAGUUGCCCAUCCCACCAUCCCACGGCAGAGCGGGGCUGUGCGGGCUGCUGACGACACGGAAGUGUGCUCUGGGGACGGCACAGCCACAGAAUGGAACGGGGCUGCGGGCAAGUCCAUCACGUUUCGUCUGCAGCGCCUCUUGGGAAAGCACGUAGCCUGGCACUUUCAGAGCGAACUGCUAGCAACUGUCAAAUUUGGAAACCCUCCUGACAUCAUUUAUUUUGACCAAACCUACAAGAGUCGCCUGAACUUCUCUGCCAAUGGCACCGCAAUCACCAUCUCGCAGCUGGCAAUGGAAGACGCUGGCAUCUACACGGCUAAAUUCUCUACAACGGCAAAAGCUCUCUUCAUCCUGCAUGUGUACGCGGAGCUGCCGCAGCCAGCGAUCACCUGCAUCUGGAGCAACUGCUCCACCGCCGCCUGCCACUACCGC
rnacentral:lncRNA from 1 species